AUGUUUGCUUUCUCGCGCCGGCGAAUGAAGCUUGGAAGGUCCAAGGGCCACAAGAGUGAUCCUUUGCACGGCUCUAGGAGCCCUGGGGGGCACGUCAGCCUGUCAAAUGGCGGUGACCCGAUCACAGCAUCGGUGAGUGGCCGUGCAGAUGACCUUGCUUAUCGCUGCUCUUCUGAUUCAUUUGAUCUCGAUGCCCGUGCAUUGGAUAGCUCGGAGAAUUGGGCGGUGUUGCCCACAGAGGGCGACAAACCUGCUCCUCGUUUCUCUCACGCGGCAGCCAUUAUAGGCAGCAAGAUGGUAGUUUUUGGUGGUGAUUCUGGUCACCAGUUGUUGGAUGAUACAAAGAUAUUGAAUCUGGAGAAGCUUACAUGGGAUUCUACCACCCCGAAAGUUCUUCCAUCGCCAAUUCGAUCUACUUCCAAGUUGCCAGCCUGCAAAGGUCAUUGUAUGGUUUCGUGGGGGAAUAGCGUUAUUCUUGUUGGAGGCAAAAGUGAGCCUGCUACUGAUCGUUUAUCAGUUUGGGCUUUCAAUACUGAAACAGAGAUUUGGUCACUGAUGGAAGCCAAGGGUGAUAUCCCUGCAGCUCGAAGUGGCCACACAGUGACCAGGGCAGGCGCUACGUUGAUACUUUUUGGUGGUGAGGACGCGAAAGGAAAGAAGCGACAUGAUCUUCACAUGUUCGAUCUCAAGUCAUCGACAUGGCUUCCUUUGAACUAUAAAGGCUCCGGACCUUCUCCUAGAUCCAAUCAUGUUGCUGCAUUGUAUGAUGAUAGGAUCCUUUUAAUAUUUGGAGGCCACUCGAAAUCCAAGACCUUGAAUGAUCUAUUUUCUUUAGAUUUUGAGACAAUGGUAUGGUCAAGGGUGAAGACAAAUGGUCCUCACCCAUCGCCUCGAGCAGGUUGUAGUGGAGCUCUAUGUGGAACUAAGUGGUACAUUACUGGUGGUGGAAGCAAGAAGAAACGACAAGCGGAAACCUGGGUUUUUGAUGUUCUAGAAUCGAAGUGGACUGUUCGUGCAGUACCGCCUAGUUCCUCAAUUACUACAAAGAAAGGUUUCAGCAUGGUUCCUUUGUACCACAGGGACAAGAUCGUUCUUGUUGCUUUUGGAGGAAACAAAAAAGAUCCAUCCGACAAGGUUGAAGUACUGGUGGUACUGCAAAACGACCAUUCUUAUAGCUGGCGGUCUGCCCCAGAUGUAGACCCAUUGCUGUAUGAAUAUUCUCCAAGCACCAAAGAGCUCGCCGGGCAUCUCAACAAAUGUGCUCCCUUGUACUCUAAUAGUUCUGUUGCAAGGCACAGUCUCACCUCUACAGUCGAGCGUGCGUCUAGAGAGGAGCAUGGAGCUCUGGGCACUUCGCUCCACAGGAAGUAUGGUCAGGUAGAAGACUGCAGCAGCUUAGCCCAAAAGCUUGAGAAACUGAUCGAUGAUGACAAAUACGAUGAUGUCGAUGACUGUUCUUCAUGUCCAGCAAGCACCCCGAAAGAUCACCGGAGCAAGAGGACAGGGGCCGAUACUCGGACUGACAUGGCCAGAACUGUAGCCGUCAAGGAAGAAAAUACUGACAACCAAGGACCAAGUGGAAGGAGGAUAGCCAGGAGCUCUUCAGACAUCAGCCAUCUGUACAACAACAAAAUAACAGAUUUGAUCAGAAGGAACGCGGCGCUUGAGGACCAGCUUGCAGCCGCACUGGCAAGCAAAGAGCAGGCAGAGAAGAACCUGUCCUUGGUCAUGAGUAGUAGGGAGCAGCUGGAGAAGAGGCUGGCCAGUAGGGGGAAAGAUGCUGAGCUGCUCAAGGAGAAGAUAGCAGGCUUGGAGUUGGCACAGGAGGAGUCUAACAGCCUGUCUAAUGCCGUGCACGCCGACAAUGUGCGCCUCGAGCGGGAAGUGGCGUUCCUCAAGGCCAUCGCGGAUGAGACCCGAAAGGAGAUGCAUUCCACCCGCAGAGUUUUGGCGGGAGAGCAGUCGCGGACGUUCCAGCUACAGGUCGAGGUGUUCCAUCUGAAGCAGGGGCUGCAGACGGCGGAAGGAAGAUCCGUAACGCCAAGGAAGCCUCAUAAUCCUUAG
rnacentral:rRNA from 1 species